rnacentral:rRNA from 1 species
ACGUCAAGUCCUCAUGGCCCUUAUAGGUGGGGCUACACACGUCAUACAAUGGCUGGUACAGAGGGUUGCCAACCCGCGAGGGGGAGCUAAUCCCAUAAAGCCAGUCGUAGUCCGGAUCGCAGUCUGCAACUCGACUGCGUGAAGUCGGAAUCGCUAGUAAUCGCGAAUCAGAAUGUCGCGGUGAAUACGUUCCCGGGUCUCGUACACACCGCCCGUCA